rnacentral:rRNA from 1 species
UUGCUUGGUGGAUCAGUGGCGAACGGGUGAGUAACACGUGAGCAACCUGCCCUGGACUCUGGGAUAAGCGCUGGAAACGGUGUCUAAUACUGGAUAUGAGGCGUGAUCGCAUGGUCAUGUUUGGAAAGAUUUUUCGGUCUGGGAUGGGCUCGCGGCCUAUCAGCUUGUUGGUGAGGUAAUGGCUCACCAAGGCGUCGACGGGUAGCCGGCCUGAGAGGGUGACCGGCCACACUGGGACUGAGACACGGCCCAGACUCCUACGGGAGGCAGCAGUGGGGAAUAUUGCACAAUGGGCGCAAGCCUGAUGCAGCAACGCCGCGUGAGGGAUGACGGCCUUCGGGUUGUAAACCUCUUUUAGCAGGGAAGAAGCGAAAGUGACGGUACCUGCAGAAAAAGCGCCGGCUAACUACGUGCCAGCAGCCGCGGUAAUACGUAGGGCGCAAGCGUUAUCCGGAAUUAUUGGGCGUAAAGAGCUCGUAGGCGGUUUGUCGCGUCUGCUGUGAAAUCCCGAGGCUCAACCUCGGGCCUGCAGUGGGUACGGGCAGACUAGA